rnacentral:rRNA from 1 species
CCUACGGGAGGCUGCAGUGAGGAAUAUUGGUCAAUGGACGAGAGUCUGAACCAGCCAAGUAGCGUGAAGGAUGACUGCCCUAUGGGUUGUAAACUUCUUUUAUAUGGGAAUAAAAUGUUCCACGUGUGGGAUUUUGUAUGUACCAUAUGAAUAAGGAUCGGCUAACUCCGUGCCAGCAGCCGCGGUAAUACGGAGGAUCCGAGCGUUACCCGGAUUUAUUGGGUUUAAAGGGGGCGAAGGUGGAUUGUUAAGUAAGUUGUGAAAGUUUGCGGCUCAACCGUAAAAUUGCAGUUGAAACUGGCAGUCUUGAGUACAGUAGAGGUGGGCGGAAUUCGUGGUGUAGCGGUGAAAUGCUUAGAUAUCACGAAGAACUCCGAUUGCGAAGGCAGUUCACUGGACUGCAACUGACACUGAGGCUCGAAAGUGUGGGUAUCAAACAGGAUUAGAUACCCGUGUAGUC